UGCCAUGUAAAUUGACCUUCAAGACAUUGAUAAAUGCAUCCUUCAAAUUUUUUGUGUAUUCAACAAGUUUUACAUUGUAUGUCUUCUUUAUUUCAUGAACGGUUGGAAUGAGGUAAGAGUGCACAAUCUAUGAUAAAUAAAUAUAAUUAGUAACAAAUUCAGUUUUUUUAACUAGAAAAUUAAAAAGAAAAUUUCAUGCCUUUUUACUCCUUGUUCAUAAGGAUAACCUUCAAUAAGUCUUUCACUUUUUGAAGUGUGCCACCUUAGCAGUCUAAGAAUGAGCUGAGGGUGAUCCCGAAAUUCUCUGUUACCUUUGCCAACUUGGGAAAAGACUUCAUAGAUCCAAAUCUAUAAUCAAAUAAAAUAUAAAUAAAUAAAUAAAGAACGUUCAAUAUAUAAAUAAUGCAUAAGUAACUGGUUAUCUAUAAUAAACUAUUCAAAUGAUUGAUCAUACCUACAAAAAAUACCCAAGAAAAUCCAUACAGAGUGUAUGAUGCACCAUUCCUCUUAAGACAUAUCUCCUUUAGCCGUUAGAAAUCUAUCAUUUUCUUGUGAUACUCGAGAUCGAAUGACUCUUUCCAUGGAUACUUACAGAAGAAUUAGAUAAAAUUGGUCAUCUUGAUGAUGUCCACCUCAACAUUGUUUCUUCAUCCCUGGCAAGAAAAAUUGUGUACACAAAUUAGAUCAAAUAACACAUAUAUUGUCAUCCUUCUCCAACCUAUCUCCUCCCAAAAGCUUCACCAACUUCUUUGCACCAAUAUUUUUUUGGUUACCCUCUUGUAAAAAUCUCCACCACUCUCAAUUACCCGAUUGUACUUUGAUUACAGGAAUAUUUGGAAUAAUUUAGCUUGCUGAUCAAUGCAAACUUCUACAAGUCAAAACAAGUUGGAUUAUCACUGAUGCAAAUCCAUGUCUCUCGUUCUCCUUAGGGUUAUCCUUUACUCUAUGCAACAAGGUAUAGUAAAUAAGUUGUUUAUUGAACUUAAUAAACUUGGACAACUUCUGUAAGAACCCAAAACACAACAGCUUGAACCUAGAUUUAAGAUUUUGAUCAUCUAGAACCUUCGUAAAUUUACCGUUGAGUGUCAUCCUAGACUGAACAAAAAUUUUAGCUGAAAAAAAACAACAUCAUCAGAAAUAAUGGUGAGGUCGAAUCUCUUACCAAAAAUGUACCUUACACUAUGAAGCAUGGAAAACGCCUCCUCAUCUAACUCCUCUUUACUCGAACUUUCCUACUCAAAAUGUCUCCAACUACAUUCCCCAACAUUUCCUUUAUCAAAUAACUACUACCUUUCCGACUCUUCUGCUUUAACUAUUUCCCUCUUUGAAUCCCUUUAGUAUUCUUCUCCUUUUUUAAUAAUACCCAUGUUAAGCAACACACAUAUACCUUUAGUCAUAUUUUAGAUAAGAUCUAUAGUAGAUCAAAUAGUCUAUUAAAAGAGCGAUAAUUUGCAACAGUAACAAUGGAAAAAUACAGAAUCAAAACCGACAAAUACCAUUAUAAUGGAGAAGAAUCAUCAAUUCUUGUUGAUGUACAAAGGUAUGGAAUUUUAUUUUUAACUUUUCUUGAAGUAUUGUUUCAUGUUUGUAAUUUUAUGGUCCAGAUUUGCAGAUCAAAUUCGUUAGAGAAUAAAUGAAAGGUAGAUUUGGUCCUACUAAGUGUGUCAACUUAUUUAUAACAAAUCUUAAUGUGCUAAAUAAUAAAUUUUAAUUAUAAUAAAAUAUGAAGAAAUAAUAAUUUUAUUGAUAAAUAAUAUAUGGGUACAAUUCUUGUUUUCUUGAUUCUUGUCUCUUGAUUUUCUUCAUAAUUCGAGGGUCGUUGGUAGCGUAUUUUCUUGAAUGUAGGAAGAUUUGAAUUUGAUAUGAAUUUUAUCAGUAAUUCAAGGAUCGUUAGUAGCAUAUUUCUCAAAUAUAUAAAGAUUUGGAUUUGACCUCCAGAAAGGAGGUUUUUUGGUAGAUCUUCUUGAAGUAUAUGAUUAUAAAGAAUAGAGAGUUUUGAUCUCUUUUUGUGAAUAUUCCAUAAGUUUAUGGAGUUUUGGAGAUACUUGAUCUCUUUGUGAAUAUUCCAUGUUGAGUAACAGAUCUGUCUUUUCAAGAAAAUAUUUACCCCUUUAUAUAAGUAUAAUUUAGGAUUUUAGGUUAGAGUAGCCUCCAAGAACUCCAACAAAAAUUAGAUUCGUCUUGUAGAGUCCCACAUAUUCUCUGUAAUUAACAAAAAGAUAAAUUGCUAUUCCUCUAGGUGUGUUCUUGAAGUGAAGCAUCCUUUUAAGUAAUCCAAUAGUGUCAUGCUAUUAUUACUUAGUAUUCAUAUGAUGAAGGCACAUUGAUCUUCUUUUUUCCUCUCAAAUAUCAUUUUGACUCCAAUUCUAUUUUCAUUUACAUUGUUGGCUUAUAUAGCUCCCCCUUCCUUUACUUCACUAUUUUGUGUGAGUUGAAACUCCUGCCUCUUCUAGUUAACUAAGCUGCUUGCGGAGCGAAGACGAGAGACAGGACACAAGAGUUGAGGUCCGUCAUUUUGAUUUCUUCUCUGAACUUACAGCGUAUGACUUUUCGGUUCAUAUUUAUCCAAAAUAUUUUCUACACACAUAAAUUUUGUAAUAAGCUCAAAACAUUCAAAAUAAUGAUGUAAAAAUACAAUUAUAUAUGCAUAAGAUAUGAAGCAAAAAUGUAUUAUAAAAAUUUACUUAUAGCCUAAUAUAGAGUAAUUUCCAUGAUAGUCAUUCAUAUUCUGAAAAUUAUCUACAAAUAUCAUUUUUGUUUUUUAGGACAAAAAUAUCACUCAAUUAUCUCUAUUUUCCUAAAAAAAAUACACUAUACUUCAAAAACAUUUCUUCUCUCCUAGUUGACAUACCAUGUCAUUAAAAUUUAUUUUUUACAUAUAUAAUAAAUCUAUUUAACUUAUCAAAUUUAUUUAACUAAAGUUUUAUUCUAUUUUUUUAAAAAAUAAACACACAUGAUAUAUUUAUAAUUGAGGAACAAUUUAAUUAUGUACUUUAAAUUUUAUAUUUAUUUUGUCUUUCUUAAAAAAAAAUAUAAAUUAUAUUUAUUCUUUAUUCGAUACGAGAAAAACUAUUACUUCACAUGAUAAAAAUGUCAAAUAAUCACACAACUUAAAGGGAAAUAAUUUGUCUCGUAAUGUUAUGCACAUUACUCAUCAAUGAAGUAGUUGAUAUGUAAAGGUUUGAAUUAUUUUAUUUGGUACUUUUCAAAAUUUUUUAAUUUAUUUAUUUCACCACUUAAUAAUAUUUUUAAAACUCAAGGUAUUUAAAUGAAUUGGUACUAAUUUAAUAUUUUUUGAUUAUUUAUUCAUAUACUAAAGAUUCUUAAAAUGUAAAAGAAAUAAAAAUGAUGGCUUUCGAAUUUUCAUAUACGUACUAAGUGUACUAUUUUUGAAGGAAAGAAAAAUUAUUUAGUCAUGAAACAAAUUAAUUUUUUUUAAAAAAAUAUUAACAAAAUGAUCCAAUAUUACAAAUGGAUCUUUAAAAUAGUACCCAACCAAUUAUCACUGGUUUUUUGUCGGUUUAGGGUGAGAAAAGAAUAUAAAUUGGCAUUUAAUUAUAUAAUAAGACAAAAUAUAGUAUAAUAGAAAUAAAAAUUAAUACGAAAAAACUAAAUUAAAAUAAUACAUUUUUGUUUUCUAAAGUUUUUUGCCUAUAUUAACUUUGCGGAUUUAUUUGAUUCGUUUAUGAAUUUACUUGGAAAAAAUUCGCAAGACGAAUUCAUUUUUUAUCAAAAAGAUCUUGCUUAAAAUUUUGCAGGUGGUCUACGUGCGAAUUAAAAUUUUUCGGUGAUAAUUACCUUUAAGAUUUUUCGAUCAAAUUUUGUUUGACAAAAAAAAAACUUAAAUUUUCUGCUUCAAAUUUUAUUUGAUAGAAAAAUUUGUAGGCUUUUCAUCGAAUUAGUUUGGUUGAAAUACUUUGUAGAGAACUAGGUUAUUGGUAAAUUCUGUUGCAAAUUUUUAAUAAAGAUUUUUUUGUACGUAAUUUAGAUUUUUCUUGUAGUUUAUAAAACGUAGGUUUGAAUAAAUGAGCUUGAAGAAUUAGACAGGUUUAUAUUUAAGAAAAUAAGAUUUUAUCAACAUGGCAUGCCAAGUUGGAGAGAAGAAGAUUUUAAAAAUGUUAAAUAUUUUUUGAAGAAAAUAAAGAUAGUUGGGUGAUAUUCUUGUGCUAAAAGAAAUAAAAAUAAUAUUUACAGUCAAUUGUCAAAACAUGAGUGACUAUAUGAUAAAGAGUUGUCUUGGGAGAUUCACUCCUAAAUAUAAAUUAUUAGAGAGAUGACAUUCUUAAUUAUCUAUUUCGUCUUGAACAUAUAUGUUUAAUAUGCCGAUCUACAUUAUAUUUAUUGAAUUAGAUCUUGAGAUAUUGUUGCUUUUCGGGCACUAAAACUCAAAAAUUACAACUUAGCACGUCUUGAUUUGUUAUCAAGUUGAAUUAUUAUACGCGUGUCGCACAUUAUUUUUUUUAAGAUAUGGUAAAUAUGGUAGAGUAUAUAUUUCGAUAUUCUAGAGGAUCUACUUUUAUUGAAGGUGUUUUAUUUAUUUCUUUUUGCUUCUUAAUGUUUUGUGUAUAAAUAGGGUUGUAUUAUCUUGUAUUCAAGAAUGCACAGAAACAUCGAUUUUCUUGUUUUUCUGUCUCUUUUUGUAACAUGGUAUUAGAGCUUCGUCAGAUCGUUAAAAUUCAUAUCCACUCUUGUUGAUAGCAAUUACUGGUUCAUCACUUUGUUGGUUCUCUUCUGUCUUUUAUUUUUUUGUUGACGUCAAUUUAUUGAGCGAAUAUCAUGUACAAGAAUGAUAUUUCUCAACCUAUUUCCAUUAUUCUCAAUGGAUCUAAUUAUCGUCAGUGAUGUGAGGCAAUGCGUAGUUUUUUGAAAGGGAUAAAGUUGUGGCGAUUUAUCUCUAGUGAUUUAACUUGUCCAAAGAAAAGUGAGACGGAUUAAAAGUUUGCUGAUCAUUUAGAAGAUUGAGAUAGUCAAAAUCAUCAGAUCAUUAUAUGGUUUUGGAACACUUCUGUUUCAAGUAUUCAUCUCCAAUUUGGACAAUUUGACACUGCAGAACAGGUAUGGGAUCAUCUUUCUCAACGGCAUACUAUUUUUUAUCUUUUACAUUGACCACGCUCACCUAUAUCGUUUAAAUUAAUAGAGGAUGAUUGUUGUCAAUAGCUCAACUUAUGUUGAGGUCGAAUCCACGAUGAGCGAAAUUAGCUUUCUAGUCCUAUGGGUGUUAAUAGUUACUAACAAGAUACCCUCAAUCUAAACAAAGUAAAAUACAUAAUUUAAAAUAGGGUUUGAUCUGCCACAAGGAUUGAUCAAUGUCUAUUAAAAACAACAAAUCUUAUUGAAAAUUCAAGAUGAGCAAGAUCUUGGGAUUAUGUCUACCUAAGGGAAAGUUAUGCAUGGGUGCAUGAUGAUUUGAUGCAAAUUCUAGUCAUUAAUGAUAUGGUGGGCUAGGUUGAAGGUCCUUGAGGUUAGUUUGUCAACAAAACCUCAAGAAUUUCACUCAUUGACCCUUUCGAGUACCUAAUGAGGGUAUCAAUUAAACCACCUAAUAGGUCAAUUGGGUAUCCCUAUUUCUAGGAAGAUGCCCAAGACAUAGCAAACUUUCUACUCACCCUUAUUUUUAAGAUAGCGAAAAGAUAGCAACCUACAGCCAUUAUUGUCCACUAUUGCUUCGUCACCCAUAUCCCUCUUUUAAAGAUGAUAUGGGUUCCAAAGUUCACCUGCAUCCCCUUCCAAGGAUGAUGUGAGCUUCAAGAACUUGGGGCUUUCACCCAAAAAUCCAUCUUGGGCAUUUGGGGUUUUCAGCCACAAACUCCAACUAAUUCAGACAAGCAAUAGUGACACCCAUCAUCAACAAACUAGAAUUACACAAAUACAUCACAACCCACAUAUAAUUGCACCUUAGUUCAACAUAAUUUCAAGACAAGAAAGUUUAGCUACUCAUGGAGUUAUGAAGAAGAAAUAUACCAAAAGGCUCAUUCAAAACAUCCAUGACAAUAAAAAAUUAGAAGGUUCUUCAAUCUAACUUCAAUUUCACCAACUUUAAAUUGGAAAAUUCAAACACAAAAAUUUCUCAAAUUAGUAGGGUUACAAAUUCUCCAAAAGUCAAUUGUUCAAAGUUUAAGAUACCAAAUGGGAAAGGGUUUUAGCAUUAUAAGAGAUUUGGGGUCGACUGAAAAAAAUAACAGACUUGCCCCUGGGCAUAAACCCACCUAGCUACGAUUGCCAUAGCUUGUCCGCAAUCGCAGCUACCACGACCGUAGUCAAAUAUUUAUGGUCGCGGAGGAUGACCAAUCUUGACUGGCCACGAUCGCGGCCCUCAGACUGCAAUCCCAGUAUCUAAGCCUGAUUAUGUGCAGGGUCUUCAGUUGUGCUUUUUUCUUCCCCUUUUGAUUUCUUUUCAGCUCAAAUCUACAUCUUUCUAUCCCAUCACCUGUGUACCUGCAAGCUAUAAAAAUUAGUGCAUUCAACUAACAAAUUUGUCUCAUUUAUACCUUAAAAUCAUAGUAGUGUGCAAGAAUUUUAGAUAUAAAUGAGUGGUAAAUUCACGACUCAUCAACGCCCUCAACUUAAACCUUUGCUUUUCCUCAAGCAACACUACCUCUUACUCAAUGAGACAAUGUAAAUUUAAGCCCAUUUAUACAAUCCAAUGAUCACAAUGACCUCAAACUUUACUACUACCACAUGUAGCUCUUCAAACAUAUGACAAGCUAUUCUCAUGACACCCCUUAUCAUGAAAUACAAUCUCAAAGAUGCAAGGGACUUUAAAGAAUAACAAUGCAACAAUCACUAACACUCUAGAAGUUACUCUCUAUUGACCUUAACUCCACUAUACUCCUACUGCCUCAUUAUUCGAAAGAUGACAAAAUCUCCCACUUUAAUUUAUUUACAUGUCUCCUCACAAGAAGGGAAAUCCCUCACACACCAAAUUAUCAAAUAUGCAAUAAUGGAUUUAAGUUUGAAACUCUCUCUCACAAGGAAUCUCAAUGUUAACAAGUACCAUACCAUAGGCUUGCCCUUAUUUUCCAUCACCACUAUAAUGAAUAAACUUGGUUGGAGAUCUAGAAAGUUUUUUGAGCCUGUAUCGUAAGUUCGUUGAAGGGUAGAAUAUCAUUUAGGAACAAAGUGGCUACACCCUCUUUGAACAUCUACAUCAUACUAUUCCAUCCAUCUAACUUUUUGACCAUGGAUCACUUAUUUUAUUUUCACACUUUACGCAUGAUUAUUUUAGCUCCCUUGAUUUACCCAACUUUCUGAAAACAUAUUUCAUUCGCCUAUUUCUUUUGCAAUCUAUGCCUCAUUCUUAUUUUCAUCAUUUCUUUCUUUUUCACUUUUUCAUUGUUUACCUCAUAGGCAUCAAUUUACAUUACAUUGGCCCAAGGUCAUCCCUUCCAAAUUUACCACCCCUAGCUUAGGCAUUUAACCUCAAUUUUUAUUUUUUAUGUUCAAGGAGGGUAGGGUUCAAGACAGGUAAAAAAUUUAAAUGGAUCAAGGCUUGUAACGUGGUUGCCAAAGAAAGGCUUGAAGGCUCGAAUUGGGUGACUAGGGGUACUAUCCUAAGCAUGGGCAGACUAUUUAAAGUGGGUUUUCAUGUUCACUAAGAUGGCCUAGGAUCAUUUUACCAACCAAGCAUACUCAAAAUUAGCCUUAAGAGACUAACGGGGUAGUUCUAGAUGGAACAAGUAUAUAUAAGAUUUAGGCAAAUAUGCUCACCACACAUACCAUGCAAACUACUCAAAUGGGCUCAAUUUUUCUUCCCACUAGAGGCCAAAUGGAGUAUCUAUCAAUUUCUACAAGACAAAAUUUUAAAGUCACAAAAAGAGGUAAAACAUUGUUACGAGGUCACUCACGUCCAUGCCCUUUAUUUUAUUUUUAAAAAAAUUUUGGACGGAGGGGGGUGUUUGCUUUGCAUUUGCACCACACACAAUUUGCUAUUUAUGGCACCAAACCAAGUCGACGUCUUAUAUUUAGCUUUCAUACGAGAAAAUAUUAUGGCUACUCAAUAUUUACCAUAGAUAUAAAUGUGAUACCAAAUCCAAAAUGUUACAGGUACUUAGAUCCCCCUUAAAUUUGGCUCAAAACUUAAUCACAGUGAUUUUCUUUUAAGAAUGUCGUCACUCAAUCUGUCAUAGAAAAAGGUUCCUCUGAUGUCACCAUAAACAAAAUAAAAAUAAAUUAAAAAUCUAAAAAUAAAACAAACAACUAAUCCAUGAAAUGUAGACACCAUAAGAAUGCCCAAAUAUUACAACCCAGAAAAAUAAAAAUCAUCCAAAAUAACAUAAAAAAUCCAAAAAUAUCUCAAUAAUACAGGCCUAAAUGAAUAAAUACGGAGACAGGCACUCCCAACUAAAUGGCUUGCAGUGUCCUCACUGCAUAAAUAAUAAAACAUAAAGAGAGAUAAGGGUGUUCCCUGAAAUUGUAUCAAGAGCUGCUCUUGCCCUCGGACUCUGUUUCAUCUCCAGCAUCAUCAAAACUGCACCACCACUCAACUGAGGCCUCAUUAUCUCUCUCCACUCUGGAAGAAGGUAGUCUAUCUCAGGGUUUUAAGACCAUCCAUAGGCCCUUUACCCCUUCCACAUCUUGCUAAAGAACUUGUCUCUCUUCUUCUCCUUUUUAUUCAUCUCCUCAUAGGAGUCCCAAAGAUCUCUAUGAGACUCUGCCAAUGAUAAGUAGGCCCUCUCAAGCAUAGCAAUGGUGACUCCCUGUGUCUGCUGAUCCGCCUCAUAAUUUUCAUAAUUAGAGCGAAACAUAUAAGAAUGGCAGUCAUGGAGGGCUUUUUUAGCCCCUGAGGCAAUCCCGACACAAGCUCCGUAAUGGAUCUAAAAUCAACACAAAUAUCCUCAAUGGGCCCAGCUGAGGAUGGCCUACAAGACUCUAGAUCCUCACAUGUCGACUUACCUAAGUCUAUCUUCUUAUUUUCGCUCUUUGCUGGACAUCCUUAUCCUAAAUUUUGAGAGGAUAAAUCAGGGUGCCAGGAUGCACCCAAGUGUCUUUGGGGUAUACCUCCACCCUGGCUCUUUUGUAAAGCUCAAUAAUUAGAGAAGGAAAUAAGAGAUGCAUACCACUAUGAAUCUUGAAGAACUUCAUGUUUGAGACCACAAGCUGACCAACAUUGAAAGAAAUGUCAUCUAGUAUACAAGAAACCAUCUGGGCCCACAAGUUUGGAGUUGCUGUUAUGUGGGUGCAAGGAGAGACUCAGCUACAGAUGAUGUUCAACCAAAUACAAGCCCCAACAGUGAAAUCAUUCAUGUAUAUAUUUCUCUUGGUAGCCUCCCAAGAGACCUCUUUGCCCGAACACAACUGCCCCGCUAUCCAUCUAUCUAGCUCAUACCCCUUUGCUUCAAAUUCAGCCAUAUCUACAUUCAGGAGCCCAUAUAUGGCAUUUAUAUGUUUGUCCCUAAAGUUUACCUUCUUUCAUCAAAUCUUGAUUACCAAGUACGAGAAAGGCACCAUGCUAAGAUUAAUGUAGAACUCUCUUACCCACUACUCAUUUGCCUUACACAAAUUUGGGGCAAAAUAUCUCCACCCUAUGGUAAUCAGCCUAUCAUGGAAUGCUGAAAGAUUUUUUGGCACCUUGUCCAAAAAAAUACUCCUCUCUGAAAGUAUCUUGAGUUUUGGAAGAUCACUAUAGUACAGAUUAUGGCACUCUUAGGAAAUAAAAUGAACUUGAUUGUAGUCUCCCAUGAUGUAAACCUGAGAAACAUGAGAACAACACAACAAAUUCAUCAUCAACAUUUUCCAUGUACAAACUAUGAUAUGUUGUCCAAUAAAGCUCAUAGGAUGGCUACUUGGUGGUGUUUGGACAAUAAUUGAAAAUGCAGGAUUUUUGGCCUAGUUUGAAAUUCAGCCUCAAAUAUGGCAAUCAUGGUCCACUGUGCCUCAAUUGCGAUGCCUCGAUCAUGAUCUAGUAGCCGCAAUCACGGUAUCCGACCCCAGAUUAGACCAGAUUUUCAACAAAGAAAAAUGCCAAAUUCUAAGCCAAAAAUGUUCCAACACAGGAAUUAAUAUCAAUAUCAUUGAACAAGAUUCAUAGAUACUCGAUCAUGCCCUUAGAAUGUGAAAACAACUAGUUAAGAGUUCUUUUGGGCAUUUGAUCGAGAACUUGGUGUACACACUAUGUUUCUCUCAAUUUUGAACGCAAUUUGGGUACUCAAGACUUUCCCACAUAUGUUCACACCAUUUAUAAAAGCUAACCACUACACAAGUAUAAAUAAUUAACAACUUAGCAAUGAAAACCAUAAGUUUAGUCCUCCCCUAGUUCAUGCAUUCUAUGACCUAUUAUAAUAAUUUAAGCACGAAUUCAAAAUACUUACUGAAGUAAUGAUGCAAAAUGGAUUCUAAGAUGCUUUUGGAUGCCUAAAAUAUGACCAGAAGUGAGCACAAUUUGAGAGAAAAGUUGACAAGGGGUGUGGGGGAAAUGGGGCAUUCAGAUGGUCAUCUAAAUAGACUUAACCAUGAUCGCGGACCGAGGUCUGCGAUCGAAAAUAAGUGGUGACCGUGAUCGUGGAGACAUGGGGCCUACAAUCGCGGUAACUAAGGGUAUUUCUGCACCUUUAUUUUCCCAUGUUCAGCUUAUACUCUCUUUUGACAAACUUUUCCUUGUUCAGUUUAACAUGCAAAAUUUCACAUUUUUCCCUUCUCAACUUAGUCAAAAACACUUCAAAGUGUAACAAAUGCAUGGAUUAAUCAAUGACAAAAAUAAAAUCUAUGCUACUAAAUUAAAAACAAAGGAUACGAUCCACUUUUAUGGCAUUUGUGGGUUUCGUCCCACAUAGUGCCUUAGUUAUCGUCGUGGCACGACGUCCUUUAUUUUUCUCAGGUUAGAUCCUCAAGGGACCCCUCAUUCAUUUCCUCUUCUUCAACAUCUGUAACCGACACCACUUGAAGCUCCAUGGGCUGUUUCUUUAUUUCGCAUACCCAGAAGGACACUUCACCAUCAUGGACUCUAAAUCUUAUUUCCCCAAGCUCCAAAUCGACAAUGGAUCUUUAGGUAGCAAGGAAAGGUCGACCAAGGAUAAUGGGCACCUCUUUGUCAAUCUCAUAAUCUAGCAUCACAAAAAUUUCCGGAAGAAUGAAUUUAUCCACUUUCACCAACACGUGUAAUAAAACACCAACCAAUUUUUUGAUAGACCGGUCCGACAUUAAAAGCCUCAUCGACAUUGGAGUAGGGGUACUCAAUAAAAGACUCUGAUAUAUUGCAAAAAUCCUGAGAUUAAUACUUGCACCAAGAUCACAUAAAGCUUUUUCAAACUUAUGUGUCCCAAUAAUGCACAGAAUUAUAAAAGCCCCGAGUCCUCAUUCUUUUCUGCUAUUGUGCUACUCAUGAUAGUGCUACACACAUGGGUGACUUGAAUGGUGUCACCUUCAACAAUAUUCUUCUUCGACAUCAAUUUCUUCAUAAGCUUAGCAUACCCCAAAAUCUCUUCGAUAGCCUUGAGUAUUGGAGUAUUGAUACAGAGGUUGCUAAGCUGAGCUAUGAAUUUCUUGAGCUUGUCAUUCUCUUCUUUUCUCUUAACCCUUUGUGGAAACGGAGAAGGGAUUUUCAUAGUGGGCAAUGUAUCACUUCGUGGCUUCUCAUUUUUUACCUUAUUUUUAUCAAUUUCCACAGGUUCCUUUUCAUCCCCUUCUUCUUGAGAUUUCGGAGUUUCUUAUUUUAGCUCAACCACAACUUUUUCCUUUAUAUUUUGUUGCUCAAUAUUGGGCUCUUUUGUACCCACACUUUCUCCCUCAAUUUCCCUUAAAUUAUCCCCGAGGGUUUUCCACUCCUAGUGACUAUUGUUAAAACUUGAGCAUCAUUUUUUAAUACACCAUAGUGUCACUAGAAAGGCCCCCCUUUGGUUUAGCAUUUAAUUAAGAAGAGAUUUGACCUAUUUGCAUUUCCAAUUGCUUAAUAGAAGCAGAAUGGGGAACAGUCGUUUGAUUGAUUUGCAAAAAGUCACCUUUCAAUUCACGAACCAUCUUGUCUGUUCCUUUCACUUUCAUCAAAAUUCUUGCCAAGACAUCUUCUAUUUUUUAUUUGUUGGGGUCAACAGUAUUUGCUUCUUUGUUAUUUUCCCAAUCAUGAAGGAGCACUAAUGAUCAUUGUCAUGGUCUUUAUCCCUUCAAUCACGAUCGUGAUCCCUAUCUCUGUCGUUCCAACCUUGGUUCUUACCUUGCCUUUGAUAGGCGGGGUGGGAACUCCCUGGAUAAUUGGCCAAAUAUCGAAUCUCUUCAUCAAGCUUCUUGGCCUCUUUAUCAUCAUAGGCUUUGGAUGCAAUGUCAUUCACCGCUUUUGUGGGUGCGCCCAUCACAUGUUUCUUUAAAAGCUCUAAUUGUGUCAUCAUUUUUGCGAUGUUUUUCUCCAUCUCUUCUUCUCUCUGCCUUUUCUCUUUAUCAACAAAGGAGGUAGUUGGGGAUCCUUUUGGUACCUAAUCUCCACGGGUGUGCCACCCCUAGUUUUGCUUGGUAACUUCCUCAAGAAAAUUUGUAUCUUUAUGAUAAGUCAACUUCAUUAGAGCCCCCUGUAGCAUUGUUAACCACAAUUUUUUUGAGUUGAUUUAGAGCCUAUAAGAAGAUUUGGAGAAGCUUCUUCUCCGGGACCUCAUGGUUGGGAGAUUCCAUGAGUUUUCUAUUAAAUCAUUCCUACACCUCGUACAAGGGUUAUCCAUUUAAUUGUCGAAAGUUAGUAAUUUUAUCACGCAAUUUUAGCAUCUUGCAUGGUGGGAAGUACCAGUCAAGGAAGGCAACAGUGAGUUCAUCCCAUGAAGUAAUUGAUCCAUCUAGAAGAGAUUAUAGGCACAAUACUACCUCUCCUGUUAGAAAAAAUGGGAAGAGGCACAACUUGAUGGACUUUUGGGAUAUGUGUUCAAUAUCAAAGGUUGUACACACUUCAACUAAAUUAUUCAAAUGCAAAUUGGGGUCCUCAUGGGCUUUACCCCAAAAAGUCCCUUUAUUUGCAGCAUAUUAAACAUGACACUCAUGACGUGAAAAACUUCUUUCCCAUGAGUAGGCAGGAUACAAAUGGUACUUGUACACCCAACGUCAUGGAGUUGCACCUUGUCAUUAACAGGACCGUCGAAGGACACAACAUGACUUGCAUUUUCACUCAUGGCUCUAGGUAUACUAUGGAGAUCACCUAAAAGAAAAAAAUAACAAUCAAAAUAAAUACGCACCACUAGGGUAUACCCUAAGUAAAAAUCAACACCUUACAGCUGAAAACUAAAUUUCACUCCCUAGCAGCGGUGCCAUUUUGAUCACGCUCACCUAUACUAUUUAAAUUGGUAGAGCACGAUUAUUGUCAAUAGCUCAACUUAUGUUGAGGUCGAAUCCACGAGGAGCGAAAUUAGCUUUCCAGUCCUAUGGGUGUUAAUAAUUACUAACAAGAUACCCAUAAUGUAAACAAAGUAAAAUACAUGAUUUAAAAUGGGGGUUCAUUUGGAACAAGGAUUGAUCAAUGUCUAUUCAUGUUAACCAACUAAAAACAACAAAUGUGAUUGAAAAUUCAAGAUAAGCAAGAUCUUGGGAUUAUGUAUACCUAAGGGCAAGUUAUGCAUGGGUGCUUGAUGAUUUGAUGCAAAUUCUAGUCAUUAAUGUUAUGGUGGGCUAGGUUGAAGGUCCUUGAGGUUAGUUUGUCAACAAAACCUCAAGAAUGUCACUCAUUAACCCUUUUGAGUAUCUUACGAGUGUAUCAAUUAAAAUUACCUAAUACCGCAAUUGGGCAUCCUUAUUUCUAGGAAGAUUCCCAAGAUAUAACAAACUCUCUACUCACUCUUAUUUCUAAGAUAGCAAAAAGAUAGGAACCUACAUCCAUUAUUGUCCACUAUUGCUUCGUUACCCAUAUUCCCCUUUCAAGGAUGAUAUGGGUUCCUAAAGUUUACCCACAUCCCUUUUUCAAGGAUGACGUGAGCUUUAAAGAACUUGAGGCUUUCACCCAUAAAUCCAUCUUGAGUAUUUGGGGUUCUAACCCAUAAACCCCAACUAAUUCAGACAAGCAAUAGUGAAACUUAUCAUCAACAAACUAGAAUAUACACAAAUACAUCACAACCCACACAUAAUGACACCUUAGUUCAACAUAAUCCCAAGACAAGAAAGUUUAGCUACUCAUAGAGUUAAGGAGAGGAAAUAUACCAAAAGGUUUAUUCAAAGAAUCCAUGGAAAUGGAAAAUUAGAAGGUUCUUCAAUCUAACUUGAAUUUCACCAACUCCAAAUUGGAAAAUCCAAAGAAAAAAGUUUCCUCAAUUAGUAGGGUUACAAAUUCUCCAAAAGUCAAUCAUUCAAAGUGUAAUAUACCAAAUGAGAAAAGGUUUUAGAAUUAUAAGGUAUUUGGGGUCAGCUACAGUCUUGCUCCUCGGCAUAAACCCGCCUAGCCGUGAUCGCUGUAACUUGUCUGCGAUCGCAGCUACCACGACCAUUUUUUAUUCUCCUAAUCGUGGAGGAUGACCCAUAUUGAUAGGCAAUGAUUAUGGCCCUAAGAUCGUGAUCGCAGUAUCUGAGCUUGAUUAUGUGCAGGGUCUUCAACUAUGCACGUUUCUUCUCCUUUUAAUUUCCUUUUAGAUCAAAUCCACAUCUUUCUAUCUUAUCACCUGUAUGCCUGCAAGAUGUAGAAAUUAUUGCAUUCAACUAACAAACUUGUCUCAUUCAUACCUUCAAAUCAUAGUAGUGUGCAUGAAUUUUGGAUGUAAAUGAGUGGUAAAUUCACCACUCAUCGCACAUCAUUUUCAAUUGAUGAAGGAUAUAGCCAGCUUGAAAUAAGAAAUGAGUGAACCUGUCUAUGAAUCUCUCCCUAAGAUGGAUUUCAUCUGUAAUCAAUUGAACUUGACCAAACCAACUCUAAAAAUUCUAAUGUUGCAAAUUUUUUGCUAACCACAAUAAUGACAAAUUGAUUCAAUUCUUAAUGGCCCUUACUAAUGAUUACGAACCAAUUCGGGUUACAAUGCAUAACCAGUAACCUUUGCCAACUAUGGGAGAUAUUCUUUAUCACCUUACAUCUAAAGAUACUUAUUUGGAUACUACGCAUUUAUUGGAUAAUUCAAGUCUUGCAGCCACUAACAGGAUUGGUGUCAAAUUUGUCAUAAUCGUCAUCAAACUAGUCAUUCUUUUCAUGAUUGCCCAGUUAUUGGAUGCAAUAAAUGUAAGAAAAGGACCAUAUCUCUAGGAAUUGUCCUCUAAUAUGCAAUUAUUAUAAAAAGAAAGAUUACUUGAUUGGGAACUAUCCUACUCGUACUCAAAACAAAAAUUGAUCUCAUUUGAAUCAACCGUUCAAUCCAAUUUUUAGUAACCAGUAAUUUCAAGACUUUGUCAAUUGACCUUCAAUAUCUCCUCAGUAAUCUCCUCGCUUCAACUAGUAAUAGCCCUGCAGCUCUAAUUACUCCUUUAGAGUAAUUCACUUUGGUACUUCAAUCCAGUACAUAGCAAUCACAUGAUGUAUUCUUUCAAGAUUUUUUAUGAUCUAGAUGCUCUUUCCAGCCCCUCAUAUUUAUAGUGUUGAUGGAUCCAAUAUGAAUGUUAGUAAUAAAGGAUACAUUUCAUCAUUAGAUCUCUCUUUUCCUGAUACAUUUAUAAUUUCAUGUUUAAAUUUUAUUCUUAUCUUUUUUGGCCAAUUGUGUAAUUCUAGAUAUGAUGUAAAUUUUUCUUCUCAGGGUUGUUGAUUGCAGGACCUUUAGAUGGGUCAAAUCAUUAGGAUAUGCCGUAAAGUUGGGUAUAUGUUGUUGGGUGGAGGGUAAAAAAUGAGAUCACACUUAAAAAGAAAAGUGUACUCAGAAAAAAGAAAAAUACACUAAUUCUCCCACGUUGGUGGGAGAACUAAACUUUCAAGUGUUGUUAUAAAGAAACACAUCUCCACAUAAACAGUGAGGCAAGAAAAAAAAAGUACCUCGCGCUGUUGGUGUCGUCGCUCGCUCGGCUCGGCUUCGGCUUUGGAUUUAGAAAAUGAUCUAUAUGAUUAAUUUUUUAGACAAAUUUUAUUUGAAACUUGUAAAACAAGUGAAGUUUUAAUCCAAAAUUCAAUGGAAUAAUUUUCUCCAUAUGCAUGCAUAUUUCAGCCGUCAUGCAAACACAUGUGCAAUACAUCUCGAAAGGAACGCGAACUUUAGAUAAAAAGACAUUGUUUUGAAAAAAGGGCAACCUGCUAUCGCAGGUCAAGUGCAGACUGGCUUAGACUGGUACAGGUUAGGCGCAGAAGCCACUGGAAUGGGCAAAACAUCACCUACGACCACAGUUUAGGCACAGUUCCAGCAUAGACUGAGGGCAGGUGACGUGACUGUUCAGUAAUAAUGCAGAUUUUCUAGAACCAAUGCUUCCUUUUCGAAGGAACACCUAAUGGAUAUAAAUACCUGACUUAUUCUACAGGUAGAUACAUAAUUUUUAGAACUGAAAAACACUUAUUGUCUUCUAAAAACUCAUUGUGAUCAUCUCCCAUUGAGUGAGUUUGAAGAAUCCGAUAGUUUGAGGUACCUCUACUAUUGAAUUGUAAGCCAUUUAUCCUGGAAGAAAAAAUUCCGCAACCUUGGGUACUUGAGGGGAAUUAAUUCCUUAAGGACACUCCGUGAAUUUAGAGGACUUGGCUUUAUUUUCGUUUUAAAAUAUAACACACUUCUUUGAUAGUUUAUAUUGAACUUGUGUUGAAAAACUUCAUAAGUAUUCUUGAAAUAGUCUUGAACAUGUGUUGAAUUUUAGUGUAUAAACAUACAGAUUGUGUACUCAAAAUAACAAUCUUAAGAAAUUGACUUUCCUAAUCUGUAUUGUUUGAUUUUUGGAGAUCAAAGAUUUAUGCUUUCUACUCUGUUUUAUCACAAGUUAAAGGUUAUUCGAUUAACGAUUGGAAGACAUAAAAACUUUAUCGUUAAACUAGAAACAAGUAGUGUUUAUAAGUUUCUACAAACUUGUAAUUAGUAUAUUUUUACACUAAAAUUGAUUGUCUUUUUGUAACAGGAAAAAUGACUACAGAUGGUCAUAUGAAUGAUGCUAGGACAAGUGUGGCAGCAACGAGUGUUGAUAAAAGGCAAUGGCACCAGUGGAGACACUCGAAAAAUUCGUGGGUGUUGAUUUUAAAAGGUGGAAACAGAAGAUAUUCUUCUACCUUACAAUCUUGUAUCUUUAAAGAUUUAAAUUUUAAGAAACUCCAGAAUUGCCAAAGAAACUUCGAACCAGGAGCGAUUUAUUAUUACGGAAACAUUCUGAUUUUCUAUACAGGAAUUCCAUUCUGAUUUCCUAUAUAGGAAUUACAUCCGAAGUGGCCUUACAGACGAUCUAUUCAACAUGUAUAGUGGAAUGAAGACUUCAAAAGAGUUGUAGAGUGCGUCAUAAAUAAAAUACUCCGCUUAAGAUGAUGGAGUCAAGAAGUUAUAUGUUGCAAGAUUCCUUGAGUAUAAAAUGAUUGACAACAAGUCUGUCAUAUCUCAAGUACAGGAAUUGUAAGUUGUCAUCCACGAUCUCCUUAUGAAAGGUUUGAUUGUGAACAAGCCGUUUCAAGUCGCUGCAAUAAUAGAGAAGUUGUCACCUAUGUGGAAGUACUUUAAGAACUACUUGAAACAUAAAUGAAAUGAGAUGAUAGUCGAAGAUCUCAUAGUAAGGCUGCUCAUUAAAGAAGACAACAAAGCCGCAGAAAGGAGGUUAAAAGGUAAUUCUGCAAUGAGUAGAGCAAACAUUGUAGAAAACAACUACAACAACUCGAAAAAACAGAAAAAAGUUGGACAAGAAAACAAUCAACCUAAGAAAAAAUUCAAGGGGAAAUGCUUUAAUUGUGGUAAGAUUGGCCACAAGUCAACAGAUUGUCGUGCCCCAAAGAAAGGCGAAAAAAAGGACCAAGAAAAUAUGAUUGAAUCUAAGAACGAAAUGGACGAUCUAUGUGCCUUGCUGUCUGAAUGUAACUUGAUGCAAAAUCCUUGAGAAUAGUGAUAGAUUCUGGUGUCACCCGCCAGAUUUGUGGAAAUAAAGAGUUGUUUGUUGCAUUUUCUCCAGCUCAAGGUGAAGAGAAGAUGUAUAUGGAAAACUCUGCAAUGGCAAAAGUUAAAGAAACAGGAAAAGUCUGCCUGAAAAUGAUAUCUGGCAAAGUGUUGACUCUUAACAAUGUCCUAUAUGUACCGGAGUUAAGGAUGAACUUGAUUUUUGUAUCACUUAUUAAUAAAAAUAUAUUUAAAUGUGUAUUUAUUUUUGAAAAAAUUGUAAUUAGCAAAGGGGAAGAGUACAUAGAAAAAAGCUACCUUACUGAGGGCCUAUUUAAGAUGAAUGUAGUGACUGUUGAAAUCAAUAAAAAUUCAGUUUCUUCUUA